GGAGAAUUGUAUCCAACCCAUGAGGCACGACAAAACAUUCCUGUCCAAGAAUUAUCCGUUUUCGAAAAGCUGGGAAAUCUGGAUUUAAGUUUAAACAGGGUCGGAGGCAGCCCACUGACAGCACAAAAUUCUAAAAUCUGUCUAAGCUUAAGAAGCUCAAGUACCUAAAUCUGAGCCAGAAUGCCAUGAAUAAAGAAAGUUUGAAGUUCUUGGGCCUACUUCCCUCCCUCCUCUACCUUGACCUAUCGCUCAACAACAUUGAAGGUCCCCUCAC